rfam:Anaerocolumna jejuensis DSM 15929 genome assembly, contig: EJ31DRAFT_scaffold00029.29
CAAGUUCCGCAUUAUCUGCCGAAGACAGUAGGUGCCGUAAGGCAUAAGUUGAUAACGCCUACCGAGGGUAUGAGUUUAUAAAAAUUAACUCAAUGAGUUUUAAUAAUUAACUCAAUGAGUUGGUAUAACAAAACUCAGAUUCAUAAAGAAAUUUAUUGAAUCCCUUGCUGUCUCGCAGUAAGGGAUUUUUUUAAAAUCUA